rnacentral:rRNA from 1 species
GAUGAACGCUGGCGGCGUGCCUAACACAUGCAAGUCGAGCGAACGGACGAGAAGCUCUCUUUGCUGAUGUUGGCGACGGACGGGUGAGUAAUGCGUGGAUAGCCUACCAAUAUGACUUGGGUAACUUCGGGAAACCGGAGCUACUACUAGAUAAUACUUCCAACUGGUUGGUGCAAGAGUGAUUGACCGUUUUGCGGUCACUUAUAGACGGAUCCGCGCUGCAUUAGCUAGUUGGUAAGGUAACGGCUUACCAAGGCAACGAUGCGUAGCCGACCUGAGAGGGUGAUCGGCCACACUGGAACUGAGACAGGGUCCAGACUCCUACGGGAGGCAGCAGUAGGGAAUCUGCGGCAAUGGGCGAAAGCCUGACGCAGCAAGGCCGCGUGAGUGAUGAAGGUCUUCGGAUCGUAAAGCUCUGUUUUUGGGGAAGAACAUCUGUGUGUGUAAAAGUAGACAUCUUGACGGUACCUAAAGAAGAAGCCACGGCUAACUACGUG